UACAGAGGGUGCAAGCGUUGCUCGGAAUCAUUGGGCGUAAAGGGCAGGUAGGUGGUCUGAUUUGUCUGGAGGUGAAAGCCUUGGGCUUAACCCAAGAAGUGCCCCGGAAACGGUCAGACUUUGAGUCUUGGAGAGGGUUGCGGAAUUCCCGGUGUAGCGGUGAAAUGCGCAGAUAUCGGGAGGAACACCAAUGGCGAAGGCAGCUCGCUGGGACGUUACUGACGCUGAGACGGCGAAAGCGUGGGAGCAAACAGGA
rnacentral:rRNA from 1 species